GUUUGGUUUGAUUUGAAAAUCUGAAUUUAUUUCAACGGCGAUUACGAGAAGAGAAUCAUUCCCAUAUUGUUUUUGUUCCAUAAAGUUCGUUUUAUUAUUUCUAGUCAGGCACACAUAUUUUUAAAAACAAUGGAGAGUACAGACUUCCUAAAAUACACCAGGGUUGAUAUUGCUGAUACAUCUGGAUUUACGCCAGUUAAACCUAGAUUGGGACGAUUCGUCGAUGUUUAUUCCCCGGAACAUCUGAAUGUUACACCAAGACCUCUUGUACCCAAACUUGAUCUCAAUGACUUGAGGAAUGACAGCCCUAUUUUGCUUACACCAGAAAAAUAUUCAGAAGUUGAUUUCAAAUGCAG